CUACGGGCGGCAGCAGUGAGGAAUAUUGCACAAUGGGGGGAACCCUGAUGCAGCAACGCCGCGUGGAGGAUGACGCAUUUCGGUGUGUAAACUCCUUUUAUAUGUCAAGAAAAUGACGGUAGCAUAUGAAUAAGCACCGGCUAACUCCGUGCCAGCAGCCGCGGUAAUACGGAGGGUGCAAGCGUUACUCGGAAUCACUGGGCGUAAAGGACGCGUAGGCGGGUUGGGAAGUCAGGUGUGAAAUCCUACAGCUUAACUGUGGAACUGCACUUGAAACUUCUAAUCUAGAGUAUGGGAGGGGGAGAUGGAAUUAGUGGUGUAGGGGUAAAAUCCGUAGAUAUCACUAGGAAUACCUAAAGCGAAGGCGAUCUCCUGGAACAUUACUGACGCUAAGGCGUGAAAGCGUGGGGAGCAAACAGGAUUAGAUACCCUUGUAGUC
rnacentral:rRNA from 1 species